rnacentral:rRNA from 1 species
GGGCCCGCACAAGCGGAGGAACAUGUGGUUUAAUUCGAUGAUACGCGAGGAACCUUACCCGGGUUUGAACGCAGAGAGACAGGAGUGGAAACAUUCUUUUCAGCAAUGACUGUCUGCGAGGUGCUGCAUGGUUGUCGUCAGCUCGUGCCGUGAGGUGUCGGCUUAAGUGCCAUAACGAGCGCAACCCUUAUCUUUAGUUACUAACAGGUCAAGCUGAGGACUCUAGAGAGACUGCCAGCGUAAGCUGUGAGGAAGGUGGGGAUGACGUCAAAUCAGCACGGCCCUUACAUCCGGGGCGACACACGUGUUACAAUGGUAAGGACAAAGGGCAGCUACCGGGCGACCGGAUGCGAAUCUCUAAACCUUAUCUCAGUUCGGAUCGGAGUCUGCAACUCGACUCCGUGAAGCUGGAUUCGCUAGUAAUCGCGCAUCAGCCAUGGCGCGGUGAAUACGUUCCCGGGCCUU